UGCAUCUGAACAUGUCGCAGGCGUAUAGAGGACCGAAUUUAUCAAGUCUCAGUGUAGAUGCUCUAGUUCUAGCAAUUAAAAUAGUCAACAUGCCGGUCCAUACAUUUCUGAGGCCCUCGAGCAAGACAACAAAAUGGGGCCCUUGUAGAUAGAUAAAAAUUUGAAAUGUGCCGUAUUUUCUCCUUACACAUCUGGAUAUGGGCUCGAUCUCGAUGUGAAUGUCAAACAAUUUGCAAAAAAAAGAGUCAAUACAGGGAACAAAAGCACCUGGAUAUGGGCUCGAUCUCGAUGUGAAAUUGUCGAUGUAUCUUCGCAGAUCUGCAAGGCCGCAACUCUCAUACUCCUUCCCCCCUUCUCAUCUCUUGAAUCUUGCAUGUGCUCCCUACACUCUCUCUAUAUCAAGUUUGCAGUUGGUCACCUGCCAAUAAAUCAGUUUUCAUCGAACAGAACUGAUAUAACAAAUUAACAGAGGACCAAGCAGCAGAGAAAUGGCAACCUCUUUUAGGCAGCGAUCGUUCCAGAGAUGCACCGGCGAGUACAGAUUGAUGAUGUGUGCUUGAACCCUCCUUCCCUUGCUCUGAGUCUUUCAGAUCCAAGAAGAGAGGAACAUGCCUGCAGUAGAAGAGAUUGACGAACAAGCCCGCGGUAGAAGAGGAAGAAGAGAAUUGAAGAUGUUAGAUGGAGCAAUCAGUGCCGGCGAGCGAGGCUAUUUAACAUCAAAUCUAGUGCCGUUGAAGAUGGAGAAAAUCAGGUAAUACUGGAUUAGGGGAAGGAGGGAGACAUUGAGGAUGAAAAAAGAAACGGUUAGGGAAGGGAAUAGCCACGCACCAUUGAUCUCCAUUAAUGACGGCACGGGAGCGGCAUCCUCGAAUCUUCCAUGAGGAACAUGCCUAUGAAGGAGGAGUCAACAAGGGCAGGAGGCGAGGAGACCGGCAGGACCCCAGGAGGCGAGGCGAGGAAAGGGGCCCAGGGCGGGCGCCCCGUUGCCCCGGCCUCUCGGCCAG
rnacentral:lncRNA from 1 species